CAGCAGAAGAAAAUGAGAAAUGAACGCUACAGAAAGAAAAAAUGUGGCUCGGUUUUGUCUACUGUCUUCUUUUUUUCCUUCUUCCUCUGGAUCAUUUUCUCCACUUUCAU
rnacentral:ribozyme from 16 species